rnacentral:lncRNA from 1 species
GUGCAAUACAUACAACCUUCCAAUUAUCAGAAGAUUUAUUCUAUUUGUGCUAGCCUAGCCCAUCAUAUUAGUGAAUGUCCCAUGGCUGUAUAGUUUCUAUCCUUUAUCCAAAAAUAAGUUUAAGUUGCCCAAGAUUACUCCAAGUCUAUCAACGAUCCAUUCUCUAACACAUAUAACCAAGAUUGGAGGAACCAUCUCAAUUUUUCUUGGAGACCCCAACAAACUUAUACCC